GUGGUGUUUAAAUGUCAUUUUGGUUUGUUUGUCUUUCGGGGCAUUCAGGUCAACUUGGCUUUUACUCACUGUUGUCAUUGUCUUUGCCCAAGGUAUAUGCCUUGUGUGCAUGGCAUUGACCUUCUAUUUUAUGGUAAUGUUGUAUCUUUCGGGGUACAUUCAUUCCAUAUAGUUUACUUUGAAAAAAUUAGGGUGUUUAAAGCAGGCGAAAAGGCUUCGGAAUAUAUUAGCAUGGGAUAAUAGAAUACGAUCUAGGUCGUAAUUUGUUGGUUUCUACGGCUUAGGUAAUGAUUGACAGGGAUAGUUGGGGUCGCUCGUAUUGAGUUGUCAGAGGUGAAAUUCUAGGAUUAACUCAAGACGAACUAAUGCGAAAGCAUUCGGCAAGGAUGUUUUCAUUAAUCAAGAACGAAAGUUGGGGGAUCGAAGAUGAUCAGAUACCGUCGUAGUCUCAACUGUAAACUAUGUCGACCGAGGAUCCGGUAGCGUUACAUGGAUGACCUUCCGGGCACUCUGUGAGAAAUCAUAAGUAUUUGGAUUUCGGGGGGAGUAUGGUCGCAAGGCUGAAACUUAAAGGGAUUGACGGAAGGGCACCACCAGGAGUGGAAUCUGCGGCUUAAUUUGACCCAACACGGGAAAACUUACCAGGUCCGGACACAGUGAGGAUUGACAGAUUGAGAGCUCUUUCUUGAUUUUGUGGGUGGUGGUGCAUGGCCGUUUUUAGUUGGUGGAGUGAUUUGUCUGGUUAAUUCCGUUAACGAACGAGACCUUAACCUAUUAAAUAGCUGCGCGAACCCAGGUUCUUUAACCAUUCUCUCCUUCGGGGGGGCGUGGUAUCAUUAUUUUGCUUUUCACUUUCGGGUGGGAGGUAGGGUAGUGAUAGGGCCUGAGAUGAGUUGGUGAUUUGGCUUCUUAGAGGGACUACUUGCAUCCUUAGCAAGGGGAGGUUUGAGGCAAAAACAGGUCUGUGAUGCCCUUCGAUGUUCUGGGCUGCACGCGCGUUACACUGGCGCAUGCAAAGAGUUUAAAAUUCCUGUCCCGAUGGGGUUGGGAAAUCUUUUUAAAGUGCGUCGUGAUGGGGAUAGAGCAUUGAAAUUAUUGCUCUUGAACGAGGAAUUCCUAGUAAUUGCAGGUCAUCAACCUGCAAUGAUUACGUCCCUGCCCUUUGUACACACCGCCCGUCGCUCCUACCGAUGGUUGAACCGAUGAGGACUCGGGAUGAUCUUAUUAGAUCGGUCGGUCGAAAGAUCGAUAGACUAUUAGGUCAGAACUUGUUCAAAUCUU
rnacentral:rRNA from 1 species